AGCAUGUUAGAAAAAUGAACAAGGAGAGGGAAGUGCUAAGAUUGUCUAGGGAAAGAAUCUGUAUUCAAGGUCACGUCUGUGGAAAAUGGUUGUAGAUGCUUGCCACUGUAGGAUUCUGCAUGUUAGGUUGGAGGUCCUGUCUAUGCUGUUAUGGCCCACAUGCAACACUGGCAAGACUAAAGACAAAUAUUUUUCAUAUGGACUCAGGUUGGGACACAGCUGAUUGACUGUGCUCAGGCAACCAGGAAAUCUGCUGGUUAGUGCUGGUGUGCCUUAGUGACAGGGAAUGGAAGAGAAGGGCUGCCCUAUGGUCUUACAUGCUGGAAAUACAUGGUAAUGUUUGUGAGUUACUAACUGGGAAGGUAUGUGCUGCUCUUCCAGGAAGAUUGAGCUAGAGAUCUACUGUAGUUAUUUCUGGUGAUCACAUGAGUUUGCUGGUUUCUUUGCAAUACAUUAUUAUUUAAGAACAUUAAAAGAU
rnacentral:lncRNA from 1 species